UUCCAGACUCCUACGGGAGGCAGCAGUGGGGGAUAUUGCACAAUGGGGGGAACCCUGAUGCAGCGACGCCGCGUGAGGGAAGACGGUUUUCGGAUUGUAAACCUCUGUCUUUAGGGACGAAACAAAUGACGGUACCUAAAGAGGAAGCACCGGCUAACUCCGUGCCAGCAGCCGCGGUAAUACGGAGGGUGCGAGCGUUAAUCGGAAUUACUGGGCGUAAAGCGCUCGUAGGCGGUAUGUCAAGUCAAGGGUGAAAUCCCCGCGCUCAACGUGGGAACUGCCUUUGAAACUGGCAAACUGGAGUGUGUGAGAGGAUAGUGGAAUUCCAGGUGUAGGAGUGAAAUCCGUAGAUAUCUGGAGGAACAUCAGUGGCGAAGGCGACUAUCUGGCACAUAACUGACGCUGAGGAGCGAAAGCGUGGGUAGCAAACAGGAUUAGAUACCCCAGUAUU
rnacentral:rRNA from 1 species